rnacentral:rRNA from 1 species
CGUGCCAGCAGCCGCGGUAAUACGUAGGGCGCGAGCGUUGUCCGGAAUUAUUGGGCGUAAAGAGCUUGUAGGCGGUUUGUUGCGUCUGCUGUGAAAGACCGGGGCUUAACCCCGGUAUUGCAGUGGGUACGGGCAGACUAGAGUGCAGUAGGGGAGACUGGAAUUCCUGGUGUAGCGGUGAAAUGCGCAGAUAUCAGGAGGAACACCGAUGGCGAAGGCAGGUCUCUGGGCUGUAACUGACGCUGAGAAGCGAAAGCAUGGGGAGCGAACAGGAUUAGAUACCCUGGUAGUCCAUGCCGUAAACGUUGGGCACUAGGUGUGGGGGACAUUCCACGUUUUCCGCGCCGUAGCUAACGCAUUAAGUGCCCCGCCUGGGGAGUACGGCCGCAAGGCUAAAACUCAAAGGAAUUGACGGGGGCCCGCACAAGCGGUGGAGCAUGCGGAUUAAUUCGAUGCAACGCGAAGAACCUUACCAAGGCUUGACAUAUACUGGACCGCCUCANAGAUGGGGUUUCCCUUCGGGGCUGGUAUACAGGUGGUGCAUGGUUGUCGUCAGCUCGUGUCGUGAGAUGUUGGGUUAAGUCCCGCAACGAGCGCAACCCUCGUUCUAUGUUGCCAGCACGUUAUGGUGGGGACUCAUAGGAGACUGCCGGGGUCAACUCGGAGGAAGGUGGGGAUGACGUCAAAUCAUCAUGCCCCCUUAUGUCUUGGGCUUCACGCAUGCUACAAUGGCCGGUACAAAGGGUUGCGAUACUGUGANGUUGAGCUAAUCCCCAAAAAAGCCNGUCUCANUUCGGAUUGGNGGUCUGCAACUCNCACCCCCCCAU